rnacentral:rRNA from 1 species
CGCACGGGUGAGUAACACGUAUCCAACCUGCCGUCUACUCUUGGCCAGCCUUCUGAAAGGAAGAUUAAUCCAGGAUGGCAUCAUGAGUUCACAUGUCCGCAUGAUUAAAGGUAUUUUCCGGUAGACGAUGGGGAUGCGUUCCAUUAGAUAGUAGGCGGGGUAACGGCCCACCUAGUCAACGAUGGAUAGGGGUUCUGAGAGGGAGGUCCCCCACAUUGGAACUGAGACACGGUCCAA